rnacentral:misc_RNA from 1 species
GAUGAAGAACGUAGCGAAACGCGAUAGUUAAUGUGAAUUGCAGAAUUCAGUGAAUCAUCGAGUCUUUGAACGCGCAUUGCGCCUCCUGGUAGUCCGGGGGGCAUGCCUGUCCGAGCGUCAUUGCUGCCCAUCAAGCGCGGCUUGUGUGUUGGGCCGCCGUCCGCCUUCCCCCCCGGGGGGAGGGGGACGGGCCCGAAAGGCAGCGGCGGCACCGCGUCCGGUCCUCGAGCGUAUGGGGCUCUGUCACCCGCUCGGGAGGCCCGGCCGGCGCCCGCCGACCCCCAACCUUCUUCUAACCAGGUUGACCUCGGAUCAGGUAGGGAUACCCGCUGAACUUAAGCAUAUCAAUAAGCGGAGGA